CUUUGGGGAGCCCGCCGCUCAAAGGCAGGCUGGAAGGGCUUGGCUGGCUCUCUCCGGUGUUCAGUUAUUUAUUUAUUCUUUUUUUUUUUAUUUGUCUGUUUGUUAAACGUACAGAGAACUAGGUGCAGUAGACUAAACCUGGGACUGCUUGUCCUGAAGCCCACAUCUGGCACAGGGCCAUUAGAAGGUUGUUCAGCUACCUGGUAACAGCCUCCGCCGUUGUGCGCUGACAUUCUUAUUAAAGUGUCUGAAGGAAUCAGAUUGGAUCACGACUGACCUGCACGCUCUGAAUGUCAGAAGCAAAGAGUUAUGUGCCAGGAAAAGAGGAAUCCAAAAAAAUAAUAUAGAAAAUUCGAUGAGGAUGUCUUCGUAAGAAUAGUGGCCUGGAUCCAAACAUGAUGGUCAGAUUGGGUUUGCAGACCAAAUUGGCUUGGUUGAAUCAAGGCUUAUUAGCUGUGUAUAGAUAACCGCAUUUGCACCAGCCUCUAACCCACAAAUUGGUGAGCUAUACUCACACCAGCUAUGAAGAUAAACACAGCACUUUAUACCAUGUUAUAGAUCAACCUUUCAGCUAAACACAACCACUGCACAGAUUCUUCACAUUGAGCUAAACUCUGCACCUGGUCAGCUGAACAAACCACAAGGGUGUGAAUUCAUACGUGCGAAGCCAGCACCACGACAACUACACCACAACCUUGUACAACGUGUGAAUUCAGUCAAGGUUGAUUUCCCCCCCCCCCAUCAUCGUCUCAGAAGUGGAUAAUAUUUGUGAGGCUGAAACAUUAUCCUGGCUCACGGUGGCUGCUGUUUUUCCCUUUAACAUAUUUAAUUUGUUCUAAAAAUAAAGGAGCCCAAUAUAAGCCGGCCAAAUUUUUUAACAACUUGCUCUACUUCUUUCAAACAUAUAUAAAAAUACAUACAGCUGGCUCUUAUUACAGGUGACGUUACCAAGCCAACCCUAAUCUGGCAAGAAAUAUAUUUUUGAUUCAUCAGCUUUUAAUAAAGCCAUGCCGAGUCUUGCCUAUUAUUUAAUUCUAAAGUAAGUUUAACUUGGGAAAAUUGGUCUCAAUGGAUAGAAAUUAAAAAUAAGGAAUGUAUAGAAUAAAAUAAGAUACAAAAUGUGUUUAAAUAUGUUGAUUAAGUAGGAAUAUGUGGGAAUAGAUGUACAAAGUUAAGAAUUAUGUAUUGUCAGAAUGAC